GAAGUUGAUCUGCCUCUGAAGAAAGAUGGGUUCACCUCAGAAAGUACAACUCUGGAAGCCUUGCUGCGUGGAGAGGGAAUAGAGAAAAAAACGGACACUAAAGAGGAAGACACUAUACAAGAAAUCCAGAGGGUUUUAGAAAAUGAUGAAAAUGCAGAUGAAGUGAAUGAGGAAGAGGAUUUGGAAGAAGAUAUUCCAAAACGAAAGAACAGGCCUAGAGGACGGCCAAAGACCCCCACCUGGAAAAAAAUUUUCCAGAAAAAUGCUCGGGGAUCUGGAGGUGGCAGGAGACGGAAUGAUGCUGCCUCCCAGGAUGAUCAUGACAAACCCUAUGUUUGUGACA